GCACAUGCGAAAGCAGUUAAAAUCCCCAGACAAUAAAACGAUGGGAUAGAAAAACAUGGCCAUAUUUUUCAUACUGAAAUUUAUAACCAAACUUUUAUACAAAACACAAAUCACUUCAUAACUAUUCACAUCAAAAUGGAGAUCUCAAAAGAAGAUAGGAUCUCAAUCCAUCCAGGCCGUACUCAAGCCCCUCUCGGGACUAUCUUCUUCUUCCAAAAAUCCUUCUCCUCAGAUCUCAUUUUCGAAUUAUCCUUCAUAGACUUCUCCUCCUCAACUCCUCAUCGGGGUCCUGAAAUGUUUUCCCCCCCCAAACAAGGAUGAGACUACGUCUUAGCGAGUUCUACCCCACUAAGCCCGAUUAGUAAACCAUUAUACUAUAGGCUACCUAAACACACACAGGGCAGAGGACUUACCUUGGCCUCAUAUUUCACCUGCAAGUCAGUACAAUUCACAAUAGACACCCAUUUAUUCCAAAUAAAUCGAACCAGUCGAUUACACGUCAUACAAUUCAUUUUCCACGGAGGAGUAUCUAAAAGCUAGGCCACGUGCGUUCUCCAAGACGACAUUCCAAGUCUCCGAGUUCACGUGCCUCGAACCUUGGGCCCACGUGCAUUCUCUAAGGCGACCUCUUCGCCAAAGUGAUACAUCAAGUCACCGAGCCCACGUGUCCUUUUAGAUGCCUGGGCCCAUGUGCAUUCUCUUAGGUGCUAUCUCACCAAAGUGAUGCAUCAAUUCACCGAGCCCACGUGCCCUUUUAGAUGCCAAACUCUGUCACCGAGCCACGUGCAUUCUCCAGGAGGACAUACCGAGUCUCCGAGCCACGUGCAUUCUCUUAGGCGACCUUUUCGCCAAGGUGACAUAUUCAACCACUGAAUUCAUGUGCAUUCUCCAGGUGAUAUUCCAAUUCACCGAGCCCACAUGUCCUCUUUCA
rnacentral:lncRNA from 1 species